ACUAUUCGUGAGGAAAAGGAAUGUGAUGAUCGCACAACCCGAAAAACGAUCUCACAUCACAGAAAACCCACGUCACAUCGUCAUGUCGCCUGCGGAAUAUGCAAAAAAGACCACCGUCUAGUGACUUGCGCUACAUACUCGGCAUAUAACAUUAAUAAGAAAUACGAAGCAGUAAGAAAACACCAUUAUUGCGUUAAUUGCUUAGCCAGGUCGCACAAGACAGAAGGAUGUACAAGCAAAAAUAGAUGUUCCGUUUGUCAUGAGAAACAUCAUUCAUCCCUACACGGACAUCCGAGGCUAUACCCGACCAACGAUGCCAAUGUUGUUAAGAAACAUCCGCUUGCGAUGGAGACCCGACUACCAUCCUUACUGGCUAAGCAGACCCUAGUACCCACAUUGAAGAUCCGAUUAAGAUGCGAUGGUGAAUGGCAUAAAGUUCGAGCCAUUUUAAACCCUACCCUCAAAAUCACGAAUAUAGCAGCCGAACUCGUCCAACAAUUAAAACUGCCGAUUACAUACCUCAAUACUUAUCGUAUUUGCAGCAUCAAAAUUAGCUCAAAUAAUGACACAAAGUUUUCUCUGGAUUGUAACGCGGUUAUCACCCAAAAGUUACCCAAAAAACCCUAUGAGCGAGAUCUAAGUGACGAUGUGCAAAUGCGCUUUGAACACUUAGUUCUCGCUGACCCUCAAUUCCAUAGCAACAGGGAGAUAAUGUUGGAAAUUGGAGCGGAUAUCUACCCCAAAUCAUCAGAAAUGGACUAUUCAAACCCGACAAUGGUACAGUGGUAGCGCAGAAUACAGCAUUUGGCUGGACCCUUACUGGCACCAUCUAAACCUAAAUUCUGCAAGGUGGCCGGGAUGUUUAAUCCAAACAAAUACUCCUCUGCAUUACUCCCACAAAUUGCAUAAAGUAAUAGAGGCGUAAUGCAGAGGAAUAUCAACCGCCCCAACUUCACGCAACAGGCGAAGAAGGAGACAAAAAAAAAAGGAAAACUUUUCCCGCGCUUUUUCUCACUAUUGAUUAUUAUCCCGCCAACAGCAGCGAACAUCAACAAGCGAUAUAGAGCAGCGAUACACCAGCUAACACGGAGAACAACAUAAAAUAAAUUCCCUAUUUAUACAAAGUGACAACAAGUGUAGCAGAUUACAACAUAUAACAAGUGAAAUUAAAAGGAAUUACCAUAUAAAGUAUUACGAAUACAACACAAAAAUCCUCACAAACAUCGUUGGAAUUACAGAAAAAAUCCACACCACAUCUACAGCGAGGGA